CUAGCCAGUUGCCACAAGCAGCGACGGACAGGUGCAUGUAUCAUGUAUCAUGCACAAUCAUUGUUUUAAGGGCACUUGCGUCUGCCAUGGUGGGUGGUCAUGGUGGCGUAGCAAGGGCAGACUUCAAGAUGGCCUGAAGUGCCCGGAGGAACACACUUGCAACGGGCACAGCAGGUUCCACAUGCCCUGUGACACAAGUUUGGCCUCGACGAUAACUGGCACCUGGCCUUGCAUGCAGCUCCACAGUCUGCAAAAAUUAAUUAAAAAAAAAUUUAAGAUGAUACGUAAUCCAGCCAAGCAGCAGUAUGUGUAUGUGCCGCGCGAUUGAUGAUAAAUUUAAUUACCAAUUGUUGGAGUGGGAUAACUGCUAGCUCCUUCGUUUGUGUUAACCUGAGCGAUUCAUGUUAUUUAGUUAAUGUGUAAAUAAUAACUCCCUCCAAAAUCAAUUGAUUGAGCGUCUAACAAUUAAUAAUUUGUUAUAUAGAAACUGAAACUUUACCAUCUGAUCAGCUGCAACAAGAUGGAGAACAAGAAUAAGUGAGAGGAGAACUGAAGCAAUGAAAGCCUUGGACGAUGAGAUGGCCAUGGCUAGCUUAAAUGCUAGAAACUAUUGAAAGUAGGGCUUUGAUCGGAGUAACUGAUACCUGGCUAUUUGAAAACCUAAAUUCUUCUUUUUACUUUUGGUGCAAAAAUGAGAGCAAAGAUGUGGGUAUUUAUAGCGUAAAUAUCAGAUGGAAAGACAGGAGAGCUUGCAAUAAAUUAUAAGAGAUAAGAAGGCCAGGACUGGGAAGGUGCAUGCGUGUUAAUUAAGGAGAUUCUCAUGGUUUAAUUUUGUACGCUUACUAAGCUUUUUCCAAAAAAGGAAAAAAGUCAUGGGCCUAUGGACAUAUAUGAUAUAAUCACUCGUCAUGAUUAUCUGGCGAAGAAAUGCCAUUUGGAAUCGUUCGGAGAUAAGCCAGCAUGUUUUAUUGCAUGGCAACUUUGCUUUUUCAUUUAUCUCUUGGCUUAAUUUUAAUUGAAGUGUACAGUACAAGAGAUAGGGAAAACAUUUUCCAUGAAACCUUAACACAGUCUCAUCGUUAACAUGGAUAACUCGGGCUUUAGUUGGACUACUUUGACUGUUUGACUCGAUUUCUUAAUUAGCUGUUUAAUUAAUUUACGAUAAAUUAUAUGUUGUCAGAGUCAGCCAAUAUCCUCCCACAUUUUCAUCAAUCUUCAUAGUAUUUAUCACAUUAAAUCAUCCAAGGAGAACUUGAAUACUUAAUUAGUAGUAAUCACCCAGCCGAUAAGUUUAAAAUGAAAAGAGAAUGGCAAUAAUUGAAGAGUUCGUAUUUAAUGUACUUUAAUUAUAGUCGCUGUGCCCAACUUCACAUCGCCUUUUCUGCAUUAUUUAGUACAUAUAUUAAAAUCCAUUUUCUUUUUUAUUUCUCGCACAACAAUAUAUUCCUUCUGCUACUUACCUAACCCAUCCAACUGGAGUCCAUACGACCAAACAAAUUAUUUAUGAAUUUAAUCAAAUCCAAACACGGGAAAUAAUUAAAGCUGGCUCCGCUACUUAUUACUCACAAAUUAAAAUUGGAAUAAUGCCUACCUAGUUCAUUAUCAUUUAUUAGUGCAGGCCUUUCUAGGGUUUUAGGUUUGUUGAGGGAUUCCGCGGUUUGCCAGCCAAGACUCAUAAUUAUUUGUAUAUCCUUAUGAUAAAGAAUAAUGAUAUGCUUAACAAAAUUUGUAUCUCAAAUAAUGUGUAUCACGUGGUAAUAGAUAAUUUCUUAUAUUAUAAGUUUGAUACUCAUUAAUUGAGGGAUGUUCACUCUAUUUCUCCACUCAAUUAUUUCAUAAUUGAAGAAGGACUUCAACUAACCCUCAUAAUACUUUUAUGAAAACUCAAAACUUUACUCUUACACAUUGUGAGUGCAAAAACUCUUACACUAGACCAAAGACCAAUUGAUAUAGUUAUUGAUGAACUUAAAACAUUAAAAUUACACAAUUGUUAUAACGUUUAAAAUGUACAAUUAAUCUUAUUAAUUAUAUAGUUUAUAUUUGUAAGAAUUAUUAUAGAUCAGUAAUUUCCUUUCUUAUAGUACAAGCUAAUAUUAGCGUUAUUACUAAUUAGUGACACACCAGGAAAACAAAAGCAGAUUGAUAGGAUAAAUGAACACCACAUAUCGUUCUAGGAAAGCUUAAGUGAACUUAAUUAGGUUACAUUCUAAUCAAAACAUUAUUAGAUUUCAUUCUAAUAUAAACAACUCAAUGAGAUUUUGAUAAUGCUUUGCAGCAAGAUUAGACGAUGUUAUAAUCCAAAUGACUCGAUAUAAGAGAUUUUGAUAGAUAAUUCCAAAAGAAAUUAUAAAAGAGGAGCUUUUAUUAAUAAAAAAUUAUUCUAAAACAAUGACAAUACCUUUUUAUUUAUAAUAAAGUAAACAUACUUUUCUAAGUUAACUUAAAUAAGAAAACUAUAUCACAAUAAUAUUGAAAAUAAAAAACCUAAAACAAAUAUCAUAAUUGCCUCAAAUUAAAAGGAAAAAUAAAAAAGGACCUAAAAUAAUAAACUCUAGAAUCUUCUAGACACGUUCUAUAUCAUUCUCCCCCUUUUAAAACAAACCCGUCCUCAAGUUCCUCCGGAUGAUAAACUUGAAGUGAAGCAUCAAUGCAUCCUAGAUCUUGAACUUGUAGCUUGUUUCAUCAAUUUUCCUUGAAGCUUGAAAAUCUUCAUGCUUUAUUUUCUUCUUUAUCUCGUUAGUCACUCUAAAAAUAGGUGAAAUUUUAUGAGAACGAAUCAUUUCUAUACCUCUCAAGUCUUUUGCUUAACUCACUCAAUGUACUCAAUUAUUAUCUUUUAUCUAGAAGGGCAAAUUCUCUUCUAAGAGUAAACUUCUUGUCUUCAAUGUGAGAGGCAUAAUCAUUUCAAUUAUUGUUGGGGUCUCUUCAACUUGACUUUACUGCACAAAUUCGAUGAUAUUAUUAAACUCAAUGUUUAAAUUAAUAAUAGAUUAUACCUCUUCUUUAAAAAUCUUAAAUCGAUCAAUAAUCUUAUCGCGAUCGUUAUCUUUUACUUUUAUUAAUUUUAAAAGAGAUGGUUCGACAUCAUUAUAGUAAAAAAAAAAAAACCUAUCUUCCAUCAAUUGCCUUAUAUCAAACUAUUCAUUUAUUUAUUUUAUCUUUGUUUAAUCCUUAAUUCUUGUAGUUGCUUCUACUAAUCUAAAGUAUCACCUAUCAAUUUAAAUGAUACAUGGGAGAUAGUAACUUUCGACGAGACAUUUUCAAGAAAAUCUUCCAUCAUCCAAAUUCAGUAAAACAUAUCACCAUGUUAUGAUCAAAAUCUGGGACAUCUUUUGAUUCAAGGAGACAAUGCAACACUUAAUAUUCUGUCUUUAUCAUUCUUUUUCAAAUUAAAAAUAAAAUCAAUAACAAAACUAUAAAUAUCCUUAACUCUUAGCUAUAGGUAUUGCCAGCGCGUCUGGUGGCCAUGAUUUAGAGUCAUGAGGGUUAGAUCUAGUAGAUAUGAUGGCAAGGAAUGCAACAAUGGCUACAGAUUGAUCAGAAUCGCAGUGGUUUGGUCAGAAAAGGAACUUGUGUUGGUGACGACUUAUGUUAGUUUGGCAGCGGUUCUCGAUUGAAUUUGGACGAUGGCACUUAGGAUCUGUUUAGUGGCUUGAGGGGAGGUGGACAAUGGUGACGACUGACAGAAACCUGUGGAGGUUUUACGGCAAUGAACCGGUGGAUCGCUUGCAGGUUUGGGUGAUUUGCUGCGGUUCUAGUGGCAGCUACUGACUCAAUUGUGUGAAGUGAGGUGAUGGUAGCGGUGACAAUGGUGGUAGGUGUGGGAUUUGUUGUGUUUUUUAAUUUUUAAUUUUUUUAUAUAAAUGGCGAUGGAGGAUCGUGGUGGAUGGAUAUGAUAGUCCAAAAAGUCGUGAUGCCACAGUUUUGCUUGAUACAAAAAAUGAUGUAGUGGGGUAGUUAAGAAAUGAAUUGAAAAGAUAAAUGAAAAUUAGAUAGGCUGGCUAAAGCAAAUACGAUUCGGUUACACUUUAAUUAAAGUCUGAUUAAAUUUUAUUAUAGCCUAAAUAAUUUAAGAAGAUUUAGGUAAGGUUUUAUAGUAAAAUUAGAUAAUGUUCUAAUUUAAAUGAUUUUGUGAGAGAAAUUUUGAUAAAUAAUCUUAAAAAGAAUUAUAAUGAUUUUUUUAUUAAUUAAAAGAUUAUCUUAAAAUAAUAACAAUACCUCCUUAUUGAUAGUUGGGUAAACUUACUUCUCCAAAUUAACUCAAAUAAGAAAAUUAAAACACAAUAAUAUUGAAAAUAAAAAACUUAAACUAAUUCCAUAAUUGACUUAAAUUAAAAAAGAAAAUAACAAAAAGACCAAAAAAAAAACUCCAGAAUCUCAAUUAAUAUGAAACAAAGUUAUGAAAGAGUCGUGUCUAUGUAAAAUACAUGCAGAAUCUGAAUUCUUUUGCACCAUUUUACUUUGCGUAGAUCAUUUUAUAUAGCACUCAAUUAUCAUAAAAGACUUUGGUAUUUACUUCUGAUAAUCACGAUCGUCAAAACAAAGCAACAAUAGCUUUUAGAUCAUCUCUUAUACUCAAUCAGUGUAGUUUUCACCGCACGAGACGAUGACUCUUUGAUUUUAGAACCACAACAUUUGCUUGAUUCUCCAAAUAGCAUAGAUUUAUCUUUACUUGUCCGUUGCUUUAAAUCUUUAUCUUUACAUUGUAUGUACAAUGUACGUGCAAUAAAAUAUGUUCUGUAUAAUUAAUUAUAACCAUUUUGUGUAAGUUCAUAAUAUCUUUCAACUCCGAAUACCUUAGAUUUUUCUUGAAAAAGAAAAAAGAAAAAAAGAAAGAAAAAUAAUGUUUUAUUACAAAUUAAGUUUAAAUACUGACACUGGGUUAGUGUACUUAUGCCGAGGAGAGGGCAUCCGUUCAAGUUUCAGUAGUGUAUGUUACAGUAAUAGAACAUAAUGAUAAUAUGAUAAAAGAUAUUUAAAUUGUGUUCUAAUAAAAAUAAUUUAUAGGUUAGUUUUAAACAUUUAGUAGAUUUUUAAUCGUAUUAUUGGUAUUUAAAAAAGAAAGUCAAUUAAAUAUCUUCCAAUUAUUAAGUACGAUUUUAUUUUAUUUUGUUUUAUUGGAGGAAUAAUGAGAGUACGAUCGAAGACAGGCAGCGGAAAUUGCCAACUUAUUUAGGUCACAGAGAUACUAAGCCACACGUGCCCUGAGGGGAAGUGAUUAGUUUUGAAGCUCAAAAGCUUUUGGAGACAGAGUGGGACUUGACGGAAAUGAUAAAACUCAUUACGAAGUAGACUUAGACCCACACAGGCCUCACAGCUGUGCAAAAGUGAACCACAGCUGUACUCUGCUCAUGCAGUUAAAUCAAUGCAAGAUGUUUAGGAUAAGCACAAGAGGUGGAACAGACAUCUAAAUAAUUAAUCUCAAUCAACUUUUAAUAUAGUUAAGACCUUAAUUAAUAUAUAUUGAAGUGGUAUAAUUUUUGAAUUACAAUUGUUAUAGAAAAAAUUAUAAUUAUAAAAUAAAAAUUAAUAUUAUAUAGUAAAUAAAAUUUUUAAAUAAUAAUUUUGAUAAAAUUAAUAAAAAUAUAAUAAAUUUUUCAUCAUAUAAAUAUAAAAUUAAAUUAAUUUAGUUUUUAAAUUAUAACCGUUAGUGUUUACAAAGCGUUUUAAUAUUGUCCAAUUUCAAUCCCAAACGAGAUCUAAGAUUAUAAAUAUUUGUUAAACACUAUAAUAUUGUGUGUUAUAAAAUUGGAAUAAGAAUGGACUGAAAUUGUAAUGGAGAAUGAGAAUCAGAAUAAGUUAUUUACUUAAACUGUAGGAAUUGGAAUCCGAAUAAGUUGAAUUACCAUUAAUGUGUUUAUUUUAUCUUAGAAUUGAAAUCAAAAUAAAUUAAAUUGUUACAAAUUAUUAAAAAGUCCUCAAUAAUAAUGACAAUAAUAUUCUAAAAUUAAUAUUUAGGUAAUUUAAGAAUAAUAAUAAAAUUCACAAGUCCCUUAGAAAUCAAACUAUCAUUUUCCAUUCUCAAAUUUGAGUAGGAUCCACAAUUUUAAUUUUAAUUAUUUCUUUUAUUUUAUAAAAUAAACGUUAUCAAUAAUUCUGAUUUAUUAAUUUGUGAAAUAAAAAUUGCCUAAAAUUAUAUGGCUCAACUAGACACCGAUUCGAAAAUGUAGACCUUAAACCUUUGAAGCAGUUUUUAAGUAGAUGUGAAAAUCAAAUGAAAUUUUUGCUUCAGUUUGGUUUCAUCGUUUACCAUCUUAUCUCCACAAAAAGUCUACUUAUAGUUAUGCAACAACGUAAUGUUUCCGAGCCAUCUUUUUUAAUAUUUACCAAGGCGGCCAAUUAAAAAUUGACGUGGGAAUUAGAAGUGUUACCAGUCCCAAAAAAUCCUCAUCAAACCCAUUUAUUUAAAAAUUAAAAUACCCUACUAGUAAUUCACAAAAUAAUAUAUUAUUUCUUAACUCACAUAUUUUGAUUAAAAAAAAAAAAAAAAAACUCCGUCUACGCCCAUACUUAAGUCUUAACUCAUCCCUCUUCCCACUUUCUCUCUUUUCUUUUUCUCAGUUUCAUUUUUUUUGUUCAUACGAAUAAUUUGUUCACCACAAAUAAUCAACCUCUCACAUUCUCGAUUUAACAUCCCAUAUGUUUUUCUCGUUCACUUGCUCUUGAAAAGACAAGAAAAAAACAAAUUAGCAUUGUAAAUAUCUACGAAUUGCACUAAUCCUGUAUUUUCAUACGGAGAUUAAUUAAUGAUAAUAUUAUAUUUGUUAGAGAACUAGUUUUCUUCUUUUCUUCGUCUUCUUUAUGUUUCCUCCCUUUUCCUGGCGCCAACACCCACAGAAAAGUUUGUGACAGCAUAUGAACAUUCAAACAUGACCAAAAAUAGAAUAAAAUCCAAUAUUAAACCUAUGAAGAAAAAUGGAAGGAAAAAACUGUAAUUAUCAAAUUUUAAGCAUGAUAAUAUGAUGCGUUGAGAUUUCAUCUUACUUAAGAAGAGAUGAAGAAGAAACUUUAAUAAGAAUUGAGAAACCUUACUAAGUAUUCCACUUAAUUUAUCCUGAUGAAGGAAAAAUGUGAAGAGACAAAAAGUUAGGAAUGGAUAAUGAAUUAUUCAUUUGAUUUUAUUUGUUUUUGUUUCAAAAUUAUACGAAUGAUCGAUGCUGUACUGAUACAAGCGCGAACUGAUGGCCAUCCUCAAAGAGAAAGAUAAUCGGCCAAACUUGAAGAUUUUUAAUAAAGUGAUUUCUCUGAAUCUUCUGUUUUCAUUGUCGUUUUAUGCAAAUUUUGAAGAGGGACAAAUUAACUGAAACUAAAUCAAAGGGAUUUACGAGCGGUGACGAUAGCAGUACAGCAAACCACUCGGCAACUAAUUAAUCCUUUAUUGUUGUUAGAAGAUAACAAACACGACACAAAGUAGAAAAUUUAAAAGGAGAAGAAGCCUCUUAUUAUUAUUCUCUGGAAACUUAUGUAUCCACAAUAAGUAACAUGAAAUGGAUUUAUUUAUUUAUUCAUGGGAAUAUGGAUCAACUCUGUUUUUCUGGCCACAGGCAACACACGCACACGCACACGCACAUAUUUAUACAUAGAGAGAGAGAGAAUAGAAGCUCCAAAAAAAUUAAUUAAGAAGUAGACGACGUCGUUUCAACUUAAAAUAUUUCAAGGGCACUUGCGUCUGCCGUGGUGGGUGGUCAUAUUGGCGUAGCAAGGGCAGACCUCAGUGUUGCCUGCAGUGCCUGGAGGAACACAAUUGCAGCGGGCGCAGCAGGUACCACAUGCCCUGUGGCACAGGUUUGGCCUCGACGAUAAUCGGCACCUGGCCUGGCAUGCACCUCCACAGUCUGAUUGAUUAGAAAAAAAUAAAUAAAUAAAUAAAAUCAGAUUAAUCAGCUGUACAUGAACAUUAAUUUAAUCGAAGCAAACAGAAACAGAAGUAUUAAUUUGAUAACAAAAUUUUACCAAUUGAUGGUUUUGGAUAACCAGUUCCUUUGCUUGAGUUAAUCUGCACGUACGUUUAUGUAUGUAUUUCAGAAUCAUUCAUGUUACAAGUUUACAAGUAACUCCAAUAUUCAUCAAUUAUUUGAGCAUCGAAGGUGCUGGAAACUUUACCGUA
rnacentral:lncRNA from 1 species